CCCUUAGAUGUUCUGGGCUGCACGCGCGCUACAAUGGCGUUUUCAAAAAGAUUGCUAAUCCGAAAGGACCAGCGGAUCUUCGAAGUGGCGUCGUGAUCGGGACAGUUGAUUGCAAUUAUUCGACUCGAACGAGGAAUUCCUUGUAAUCGUGCGUCAUCAGCGCACGCUGAAUACGUCCCUGUUCUUUGUACACACCGCCCGUCGCUCCUACCGAUCGAGCGAUCCAAUGAAUGUUUCGGAGCGGAACUGAGAUGCUAAUGCGUCUCUUUUACGCGAAUUUGUGUGAAUUUGAUCGCUUAGAGGAAGGAGAAGUCGUAACA
rnacentral:rRNA from 1 species